CUUGAUGGAGCCGAGCAGCAGUGGCCGGUCCACGGGCCGGUCCUGCCCGUACGUCGCCAGCAGGGCCUGGGCCUC
rnacentral:antisense_RNA from 2 species